UGGGGAAUUUUGGACAAUGGGGGAAACCCUGAUCCAGCCAUCCCGCGUGUGCGAUGAAGGCCUUCGGGUUGUAAAGCACUUUUGGCAGGAAAGAAACGUCGCGGGUUAAUACCCCGCGAAACUGACGGUACCUGCAGAAUAAGCACCGGCUAACUACGUGCCAGCAGCCGCGGUAAUACGUAGGGUGCAAGCGUUAAUCGGAAUUACUGGGCGUAAAGCGUGCGCAGGCGGUUCGGAAAGAAAGAUGUGAAAUCCCAGAGCUUAACUUUGGAACUGCAUUUUUAACUACCGGGCUAGAGUGUGUCAGAGGGAGGUGGAAUUCCGCGUGUAGCAGUGAAAUGCGUAGAUAUGCGGAGGAACACCGAUGGCGAAGGCAGCCUCCUGGGAUAACACUGACGCUCAUGCACGAAAGCGUGGGGAGCAAACAGGAUUAGAUGCCCUGGUAGUCCACGCCCUAAACGAUGUCAACUAGCUGUUGGGGCCUUCGGGCCUUGGUAGCGCAGCUAACGCGUGAAGUUGACCGCCUGGGGAGUACGGUCGCAAGAUUAAAACUUAAAGGAAUUG
rnacentral:rRNA from 1 species